CUGAUAUGGCUCAGUUGGUAGAGCGCACCCUUGGUAAGGGUGAGGUCCCCAGUUCGACUCUGGGUAUCAGCACCAC
rnacentral:tRNA from 2 species